CUGGUUGAUCCUGCCAGUAGUCAUAUGCUUGUCUCAAAGAUUAAUCCAUGCAUGUGUAAGUAUAAGUAUUGUACAGCGAAACUGCGAAUGGCUCAUUACAUCAGUUAUUAUUUAUUUGAUAAUCGAAAGUUACAUGGAUAACCGUGACAAAUUACAGCUAAUACAUGCAUUCAGACCUGGUCCAAGGGUCGUAAUUAUUAGUAUUAAACCAUUUCCGAAAGGAGUGUGAUGAAUCAUAAUAAUCGAACGAAUCGCCUGGUGUGCGAUAAAUCAUUCAAGUUUCUGCCCUAUCAGCUUUGGAUGGUAGUGUAUUGGACUACCAUGGCAGUCACGGGUAACGGAGAAUUAGGGUUCGAUUCCGGAGAGGGAGCCUGAGAAACGGCUACCACAUCUACGGAAGGCAGCAGGAGCGAAAAUUGCCCAAUCCUGACACAGGGAGGCAGUGACAAGAAAUAUCAACUCUUGGAUUUCUAAGAAGUGAAAUGAGGAUAAUUUACAACCCUUACCGAAAGCAAUUGGAGGGCAAGUCUGGUGCCAGCAGCCGCGGUAAUUCCAGCUCCAAUAGCGUAUAUUAAAGUUGUUGCAGUUAAAAAGCUCGUAGUUGAAGUUCUGGCUGUUCGAUCCUCGAGCUCUGUAGCCGAGGACUCGACAGUCAUCCGCUUGCAAGUAUACGUUCGCCUUUAACCGGGUGGCUAUAUGAGCAAGCAUUUUACCUUGAGAAAAACAGAGUGUUCCAGGCAGGUUUGUCCGGAAUGCGUUAGCAUGGAAUAAUAGAAUAUGACUGAAGUCGAUUUAUUGGUUUGAGGCUUUAGUAAUGAUUAAUAGGAACAGUCGGGGGCAUUGGUACUUGACAGUCAGAGGUGAAAUUCUAGGAUUUGUCAAAGACUAACAAAUGCGAAAGCAUUUGCCAAGGAUGUUUUCAUUAAUCAAGAACGAAAGUUAGGGGAUCAAAGACGAUCAGAUACCGUCCUAGUCUUAACUAUAAACUAUACCGACUCGGAUUCGGAUGAAUCAAAAAGUUCAUUCGGGACCGUAGGAGAAAUCAAAGUUUUUGGGUUCUGGGGGAAGUAUGGUCGCAAGGCUGAAACUUAAAGGAAUUGACGGUUUUGCACCACCAUGGAGUGGAGUCUGCGGCUUAAUUUGACAACACUGGGAAACUCAUCAGGGCAAGAAGAUUUUAGGAUUGACAGAUUGAGAGUUCUUUCUUGAUUGGUCUAGUGGUGGUGCAUGGCCGUUCUU
rnacentral:rRNA from 1 species